AGUGUUGGUUUCUGAAGGAGACAUGGAGAGAUGGAAAAAAGGGAGAUGUAGCUAGCCCAACAGAAACCAAUAAACACUGUCUGUAGAUGAAAAAGGGACUACAUCAUCAGACUGAUUCAGUUCUACAAGUUCAAAUUGAAGAAGAUGAUGUUUCGAGGAGUCUAAAAAGGCGAGGGAUUGAAGCCGUACAUAUGAAGACUCGGGCAGCUGAGGAAAAGCACAUGCUUUACCAGGAAAUGAGAAGUGUAACUGAACACCUCCAUCAGCAGCAUGCCUUUCUGUGCUCUGCCAUCAAAGACACUGAGCAGCC